GAUGAACGCUGGCGGCGUGCCUAAUACAUGCAAGUCGAGCGAACAGACGAGGAGCUUGCUCCUCUGACGUUAGCGGCGGACGGGUGAGUAACACGUGGAUAACCUACCUAUAAGACUGGGAUAACUUCGGGAAACCGGAGCUAAUACCGGAUAAUAUAUUGAACCGCAUGGUUCAAUAGUGAAAGACGGUUUUGCUGUCACUUCUAGAUGGAUCCGCGCCGCAUUAGCUAGUUGGUAAGGUAACGGCUUACCAAGGCAACGAUGCGUAGCCGACCUGAGAGGGUGAUCGGCCACACUGGAACGGAGACACGGUCCAGACUCCUACGGGAGGCAGCAGUAGGGAAUCUUCCGCAAUGGGCGAAAGCCUGACGGAGCAACGCCGCGUGAGUGAUGAAGGUCUUCGGAUCGUAAAACUCUGUUAUUAGGGAAGAACAAAUGUGUAAGUAACUAUGCACGUCUUGACGGUACCUAAUCAGAAAGCCACGGCUAACUACGUG
rnacentral:rRNA from 1 species